rnacentral:piRNA from 1 species
UAAUUAAGUGUUCCUCCUAGAGCCCUGC